ACCUGGCUGGCUCAGUUAGUAGGGCGUGUGACUCUUGAUCUCGAGGCUGUGAGUUCAAGCCCCACAUUGGGUG
rfam:Ailuropoda melanoleuca scaffold317_80, whole genome shotgun sequence.